rnacentral:tRNA from 1 species
GGACUAUUAGCUCAGCAGGUAAGAGCGCACGCUUGAUAAGCGUGAGGUCGGUGGUUCAAGUCCACCAUGGUCC